GACGAACGCUGGCGGCGUGCUUAACACAUGCAAGUCGAGCGGAAAGGCCCUGCUUUUGUGGGGUGCUCGAGUGGCGAACGGGUGAGUAACACGUGAGUAACCUGCCCUUGACUUUGGGAUAACUUCAGGAAACUGGGGCUAAUACCGGAUAGGAGCUCCUGCUGCAUGGUGGGGGUUGGAAAGUUUCGGCGGUUGGGGAUGGACUCGCGGCUUAUCAGCUUGUUGGUGGGGUAGUGGCUUACCAAGGCUUUGACGGGUAGCCGGCCUGAGAGGGUGACCGCCCACAUUGGGACUGAGAUACGGCCCAGACUCCUACGGGAGGCAGCAGUGGGGAAUAUUGCACAAUGGGCGGAAGCCUGAUGCAGCAACGCCGCGUGCGGGAUGACGGCCUUCGGGUUGUAAACCGCUUUCGCCUGUGACGAAGCGUGAGUGACGGUAAUGGGUAAAGAAGCACCGGCUAACUACGUG
rnacentral:rRNA from 1 species